GAUAGCGUGCCAACUUUUCUCUUCGUUCUCAUAGCUUUUGCAUUUUUUACUCACGAGGAUUAUGUUACAUCGACGAUUAAACACAUUGGUGCGUCGAUUUACUGUAAUGCGAUGCCUAGGAUAUGACAGAAUUAUAUAAAUCACGAAAAGUUCGAUUGUAUAUACAUUUCGUUAAGAAAGAUAUUCGGAGCAUGCAUAUCAAAACAACAUCUCCUUGAUAUAAAUUUGUACUCGAGCUCAUGCGCGAAACGUAACAGCAUCUUGUGAGAUAGAUCUUUUCUGAGAGCCAAGUAAGCGAACUUAAUAAUUCUCUGUUGACUAUGGUUAUUCUUUUUCUAUGUAUUCUAUGUACUAUUCGUCGGUAUUGGCAUUUUCUUUUUAAAA